rnacentral:rRNA from 1 species
CAAGUUUGAUGGCGACCGGCGCACGGGUGAGUAACACGUAUCCAACCUGCCGAUGACUCGGGGAUAGCCUUUCGAAAGAAAGAUUAAUACCCGAUGGCAUAGUUCUUCCGCAUGGUAGAACUAUUAAAGAAUUUCGGUCAUCGAUGGGGAUGCGUUCCAUUAGGCAGGUUGGUCGGGGUAACGGCCCACCAAACCUUCGAUGGAUAGGGGUUCUGAGAGGAAGGUCCCCCACAUUGGAACUGAGACACGGUCCAAACUCCUACGGGAGGCAGCAUG